rnacentral:rRNA from 1 species
AUUGAACGCUGGCGGCAGGCCUAACACAUGCAAGUCGAGCGGAUGAAGGGAGCUUGCUCCUGGAUUCAGCGGCGGACGGGUGAGUAAUGCCUAGGAAUCUGCCUGGUAGUGGGGGAUAACGUCCGGAAACGGGCGCUAAUACCGCAUACGUCCUGAGGGAGAAAGUGGGGGAUCUUCGGACCUCACGCUAUCAGAUGAGCCUAGGUCGGAUUAGCUAGUUGGUGGGGUAAAGGCCUACCAAGGCGACGAUCCGUAACUGGUCUGAGAGGAUGAUCAGUCACACUGGAACUGAGACACGGUCCAGACUCCUACGGGAGGCAGCAGUGGGGAAUAUUGGACAAUGGGCGAAAGCCUGAUCCAGCCAUGCCGCGUGUGUGAAGAAGGUCUUCGGAUUGUAAAGCACUUUAAGUUGGGAGGAAGGGCAGUAAGUUGAUACCUUGCUGUUUUGACGUUACCAACAGAAUAAGCACCGGCUAACUUCGU